AUUGAACGCUGGCGGCAGGCUUAACACAUGCAAGUCGAACGCGUGGCGGACGGGUGAGUAAUGCUUGGGAAUAUGCAUUAUGGUGGGGGACAACAGUUGGAAACGACUGCUAUUCCCGCAUACCAUACGAUUAGCCCAAGUGGGAUUAGCUAGUUGGUAAGGUAAUGGCUUACCAAGGCGACGAUCCCUAGUUGGUCUUAGAGGAUGACCAGCCACAUUGGAACUGAGACACGGCCCAGACUCCUACGGGAGGCAGCAGUGGGGAAUAUUGCACAAUGGGCGCAAGCCUGAUGCAGCAAUGCCGCGUGAGUGAAGAAGGUUUGCGGGUUGUAAAGCACUUUCAGCGAGGAGGCGGUACUCGAAGAAGAAGCACCGGCUAACUCCGUGCCAGCAGCCGCGGUAAUAC
rnacentral:rRNA from 1 species